rnacentral:rRNA from 1 species
GUCCACGCCUAACUAUGUCAACUAGACGUUGGCCCUUAAUGGGUUAGUGUCGAAGCUAACGCGUUAAGUUGACCGCCUGGGAGUACGGCCGCAAGGUUGAACUCAAGGAAUUGACGGGCCGCACAAGCGGUGGAGCAUGUGGUUAAUUCGAUGCAACGCGAAGAACCUUACCAGCCCUUGACAUCCUCGGGAACUUUGUAGAGAUACAUUGGUGCCUUCGGGAAUCGAGAGACAGGUGCUGCAUGGCUGUCGU